rnacentral:rRNA from 1 species
CGUUAAGUCGACCGCCUGGGGAGUACGGCCGCAAGGUUAAAACUCAAAUGAAUUGACGGGGGCCCGCACAAGCGGUGGAGCAUGUGGUUUAAUUCGAUGCAACGCGAAGAACCUUACCUGGUCUUGACAUCCACGGAAGUUUUCAGAGAUGAGAAUGUGCCUUCGGGAACCGUGAGACAGGUGCUGCAUGGCUGUCGUCAGCUCGUGUUGUGAAAUGUUGGGUUAAGUCCCGCAACGAGCGCAACCCUUAUCCUUUGUUGCCAGCGGUCCGGCCGGGAACUCAAAGGAGACUGCCAGUGAUAAACUGGAGGAAGGUGGGGAUGACGUCAAGUCAUCAUGGCCCUUACGACCAGGGCUACACACGUGCUACAAUGGCGCAUACAAAGAGAAGCGACCUCGCGAGAGCAAGCGGACCUCAUAAAGUGCGUCGUAGUCCGGAUUGGAGUCUGCAACUCGACUCCAUGAAGUCGGAAUCGCUAGUAAUCGUGGAUCAGAAUGCCACGGUGAAUACGUUCCCGGGCCUUGUACACACC